rnacentral:rRNA from 1 species
CCGCUUAGAGGUAAACGGGUGUAGUCAAGCUGCAAGCCGUGGGAAAUAUCCGGGUCAGUUGGCGUGAGCCUGAGCACUCUCUUCACGAGAACGUUGGAAGGUCUGCCCCUAUAAAGGUCAGGUUGGGCACGCAAGUGUCUGAUUGGCGUUGCCAGCCUCCUAGCGGUGUUCGGCUGGCCCGGCCAUUUUCUCAUGGCGUAAGUCACGACCGUCGUUGCUGCCGGUCCGCUGCGUCUAAACCGUAUUGCAGGUAGUCUCGUAUUAUCUGCGAUUCGGGUGGCAGGUGGCCGGCGCGGUACAUCUCUCGGGGUGUGCUGUGCCGGUGUAAUUUGCUGGGCGAAGUGGUUACAAACUGUGCGGUGCGAUGAGCAUAGCGGUGUCUGGCUUGUCGGCUCGCCAAUGUAGGCCUAAUGGGCGUGAGUCUGGCUGCCUGUAGCUGUCUCUAACAGCCUUGCGGUGGCUCUGCCUGUUCUGGCCUGCGGCGUUGUCUGAUGCCAGUCUUGCAUUGUGCCUAUAGUCUGUGUG